UUCAAGGUCCGUUCAUGUUGCAGCAUGU
rnacentral:piRNA from 1 species